AUCCAGCUGACGAGUCCCAAAUAGGACGGAAGGCGCGUCCCGGAU
rfam:Schistosoma mansoni, Puerto Rico, WGS project CABG01000000 data, contig: 0126